UAUUGAUUGGAAUAUUCAAAGCCUGGGGUGG
rnacentral:piRNA from 1 species